rnacentral:rRNA from 1 species
AUUGAACGCUGGCGGCAGGCCUAACACAUGCAAGUCGAACGGCAGCACGGGAGCUUGCUCCUGGUGGCGAGUGGCGAACGGGUGAGUAAUGCGUCGGAACGUGCCGAGUAAUGGGGGAUAACGCAGCGAAAGUUGUGCUAAUACCGCAUACGCCCUGAGGGGGAAAGUGGGGGAUCGCAAGACCUCACGUUAUUCGAGCGGCCGACGUCUGAUUAGCUAGUUGGUGGGGUAAAGGCCUACCAAGGCGACGAUCAGUAGCGGGUCUGAGAGGAUGAUCCGCCACACUGGGACUGAGACACGGCCCAGACUCCUACGGGAGGCAGCAGUGGGGAAUUUUGGACAAUGGGGGCAACCCUGAUCCAGCCAUUCCGCGUGAGUGAAGAAGGCCUGGUUGUAAGCUCUUCUAGCU